GAUGAACGCUGGCGGCGUGCCUAAUACAUGCAAGUCGAGCGAACAGACGAGGAGCUUGCUCCUCUGAUGUUAGCGGCGGACGGGUGAGUAACACGUGGAUAACCUACCUAUAAGACUGGGAUAACUUCGGGAAACCGGAGCUAAUACCGGAUAAUAUAUUGAACCGCAUGGUUCAAUAGUGAAAGACGGUUUUGCUGUCACUUAUAGAUGGAUCCGCGCCGCAUUAGCUAGUUGGUAAGGUAACGGCUUACCAAGGCGACGAUGCGUAGCCGACCUGAGAGGUGGAUCGGCCACACUGGAACUGAGACACGGUCCAGACUCCUACGGGAGGCAGCAGUAGGGAAUCUUCCGCAAUGGGCGAAAGCCUGACGGAGCAACGCCGCGUGAGUGAUGAAGGUCUUCGGAUCGUAAAACUCUGUUAUUAGGGAAGAACAAAUGUGUAAGUAACUAUGCACGUCUUGACGGUACCUAAUCAGAAAGCCACGGCUAACUACGUG
rnacentral:rRNA from 1 species